rnacentral:rRNA from 10 species
AUUGCAGAACACAUUGAACAUCGACAUCUUGAACGCAUAUGGCGGCCUCGGGUCCAUCCCGAGGCCACGCCCGUCUGAGGGUCGGCU